GGGAUCAUUACUGAGUGAGGGCCUUCGGGCUCGACCUCCAACCCUUUGUGAACACAACUUGUUGCUUCGGGGGCGACCCUGCCGUUUCGACGGCGAGCGCCCCCGGAGACCAUCAAACACUGCAUCUUUGCGUCGGAGUUUAAGUAAAUUAAACAAACCUUUCAACAACGGAUCUCUUGGUUCUGGCAUCGAUGAAGAACGCAGCGAAAUGCGAUAAGUAAUGUGAAUUGCAGAAUUCAGUGAAUCAUCGAAUCUUUGAACGCACAUUGCGCCCUUUGGUAUUCCGAAGGGCAUGCCUGUUCGAGCGUCAUUUCACCACUCAAGCCUGGCUUGGUAUUGGGCGCCGCGGUCAAUCCGCGCGCCUCAAAGUCUCCGGCUGAGCUGUCCGUCUCUAAGCGUUGUGAUUUCAUUAAUCGCUUCGGAGUGCGGGCGGCCGCGGCCGUUAAAUCUUUCACAAGGUUGACCUCGGAUCAGGUAGGGAUACCCGCUGAACUUAA
rnacentral:rRNA from 1 species